GAUGAACGCUGGCGGCGUGCCUAAUACAUGCAAGUCGAGCGAACAGACGAGGAGCUUGCUCCUCUGACGUUAGCGGCGGACGGGUGAGUAACACGUGGAUAACCUACCUAUAAGACUGGGAUAACUUCGGGAAACCGGAGCUAAUACCGGAUAAUAUAUUGAACCGCAUGGUUCAAUAGUGAAAGACGGUUUUGCUGUCACUUAUAGAUGGAUCCGCGCCGCAUUAGCUAGUUGGUAAGGUAACGGCUUACCAAGGCAACGAUGCGUAGCCGACCUGAGAGGGUGAUCGGCCACACUGGAACUGAGACACGGUCCAGACUCCUAAGGGAGGCAGCAGUAGGGAAUCUUCCGCAAUGGGCGAAAGCCUGACGGAGCAACGCCGCGUGAGUGAUGAAGGUCUUCGGAUCGUAAAACUCUGUUAUUAGGGAAGAACAAAUGUGUAAGUAACUAUGCACGUAUUGACGGUAACUAAUCAGAAAGCCACGGCUAACUACGUG
rnacentral:rRNA from 1 species